rnacentral:rRNA from 1 species
AUGGGAGAGGGACGAGGUCGGCAAGAGCGGGAAGGAUUUGUGCGGUUUUGUUCUUCCUUUUCCCUUUUGUUGCUUCUCGAUUUUAAAAGAUUCUUGUUUCCUAUGCUAAUGUUACAGGUGGGUUCUCUAUUGGUGUGGUUCUGGGGAUUGCAAGGCUUGUUCCAUCUGGUUUCAGGAGUGUGUGUUGCUCCUGUAAUUUUUCUCAGGUUGUCUCUCUUCUUCUUCUUGCUAUAUUUAGUUCAUUCUUUUGUUCGUACAACGGAUCUUGAGAUUUUCUUUUUUGUUGCUAAUCGUUUGAGCCAUGGGAGUUAG